GGGGGGGGGGGGGGGGGGGGUGGGGGGAGGGGGGGGGGGGGGGGGGGGGCUGCGGGGGUGGGGUGCUCGGGGGGCGAACGGGUGAGGGACAGGGGAGUACCCUGCCCUGGACGUUGGGAUAACUUCGGGAAACUGGGGCUAAUACCGGAUGGGAGGUCCUGUUGCAUGGUGGGGGUUGGAAAGUUUCGGCGGGUGGGGCUGGACUCGCGGCUUAUCAGCUUGUUGGUGGGGUAGUGGCUUACCAAGGCUUUGACGGGGAGCCGGCCUGGGAGGGUGACCGGCCACAUUGGGACUGAGUCACGGCCCAGACUCCUUCGGGAGGCAGCAGUGGGGAAUAUUGCACAAUGGGCGGAAGCCUGAUGCAGCAACGCCGCGUGCGGGAUGACGGCCUUCGGGUUGUAAACCGCUUUCGCCUGUGACGAAGCGUGAGUGACGGUAAUGGGGAAAGAAGCACCGGCUAACUACGU
rnacentral:rRNA from 1 species